UAAUACGUAGGAGGCGAGCGUUAUCCGGAUUUACUGGGCGUAAAGAGGGCGUAGGCGGCCUUUCAAGUCGGACGUGAAAUCUCCCGGCUAAACCGGGAGGGUGCCUUCGAUACUGAUGGGCUAGAGUGCAGCAGAGGGAAGCGGAAUUCCCGGUGUAGUGGUGAAAUGCGUAGAUAUCGGGAGGAACACUAGUGGCGAAGGCGGCUUUCUGGGCUGUUACUGACGCUGAGGCCCGAAGGCGUGGGGAGCAAACAGGAUUAGAUACCCUGGUAGUCCACGCAGUAAACGAUGGACACUAGAUAUAGGGAGUAUCGACCCUCUCUGUGCCGAAGCUAACGCUUUAAGUGUCCCGCCUGGGGACUACGGUCGCAAGACUA
rnacentral:rRNA from 1 species